UACGGAGGGAGCUAGCGUUGUUCGGAAUUACUGGGCGUAAAGCGCACGUAGGCGGCUUUUUAAGUCAGGGGUGAAAUCCCGGGGCUCAACCCCGGAACUGCCUCUGAAACUGGAUGGCUAGAAUCUUGGAGAGGCGAGUGGAAUUCCGAGUGUAGAGGUGAAAUUCGUAGAUAUUCGGAAGAACACCAGUGGCGAAGGCGACUCGCUGGACAAGUAUUGACGCUGAGGUGCGAAAGCGUGGGGAGCAAAC
rnacentral:rRNA from 1 species